UGUCAUUUGACAUUAGAUAGUAAAAUUAUAUGAUAAAAUUAUUUUAUGAAUUUUUUAGGCAAAAGAUCUAUGAUAUCAGAGAGAGAACAAGAGGAAAAUUCAAAACAAACUCUUAUACUAGCCUUUAUAGUUGUUUGUAUGUUUUUUGUUUUUUGUGGAGUGGUUUGUAUUGUCUGGUUCUUAGCUGAUCCAACGUUACGACAGGAGGAAGAGUAACAGAUAAUAGGAAGUAAUGAUAUUACGAAUGAAUUGAAGAGAAAAACCGAAAAAUACUCGGAAAAUGACUCGCCUAACUAGAAACCUUAUUAUACUAAAUGUCCUUAUGUUGGGAAUUUUUAUAUUGAUGAUUGUUGGAAUAUUUCUUGUUAAAAUGUAUAAAAAAUGUUAAGAAUAUUGAUAUAUUUUUUAUACUUAAUUGACUUUAAUAUAAUUUGUUACUACAUGUAA